CCUGAACAUCUGAACCAAAACACCAUAAGAGGGAACAUCUUUUAGAAGAAUGCUGCUCAUCUCUCUAGUAGAGAAUCUAUGCACAGUAGAGACAGGAAAGGCAGGGAUAGAGAGAGGGAAUGACAUGCACCCAAAGGGCCAGGCUGCUGCAGUAAGAACCCAGCCUUGUACAUGAUCUAACAGUAUUUUUCCCACCUGUUUGCCUUCCACACUGGUGAAGAGAGGAGGAGGAGCAAUGCAAUCAAGAGAGCCAG